rnacentral:rRNA from 1 species
AGAGUUUGAUCCUGGCUCAGAACGAACGCUGGCGGCGUGCCUAACACAUGCAAGUCGAGCGCGAAAGUCCCUUCGGGGGCGAGUAGAGCGGCGGACGGGUGAGUAAUACAUGGAUAAUCUCCCUUCGAGCUCGGGAUAACACUGCGAAAGCGGUGCUAAUACCGGAUAAGACCACGUCACCCAGGUGAUGCGGUAAAAGAUGGCUUUGUUUUCGGAUGAGGCUAUCACUUGAGGAUGAGUCCAUGGCCUAUCAGCUUGUUGGUGAGGUAAAGGCUCACCAAGGCGAUGACGGGUAGCUGGUCUGAGAGGACGACCAGCCACACUGGGACUGAGACACGGCCCAGACUCCUACGGGAGGCAGCAGUGGGGAAUAUUGGGCAAUGGGCGAAAGCCUGACCCAGCGACGCCGUGUGGGCGAUGAAGGCCUUCGGGUUGUAAAGCCCUGUUGGGUGGAAAGAAGGGCUCUAGGACGAAUAAUCCCUGAGUCUUGACGGUACCACCAGAGGAAGCACCGGCUAACUCCGUGCCAGCAGCCGCGGUAAUACGGAGGGUGCAAGCGUUGUUCGGAAUUACUGGGCGUAAAGGGCGCGUAGGUGGUUGUGUAAGUCAGAUGUGAAAUCCCGAGGCUCAACCUCGGAACUGCAUCUGAUACUGCAUGACUAGAGUGCAGCAGAGGGAAACGGAAUUCCCAGUGUAGAGGUGAAAUUCGUAGAUAUUGGGAGGAACACCGGUGGCGAAGGCGGUUUCCUGGGCUGACACUGACACUGAGGCGCGAAAGCGUGGGUAGCAAACAGGAUUAGAUACCCUGGUAGUCCACGCUGUAAACGG